AAAACACUAGUAAAACAGUUAUUACAUCGUCUUGUCAAGGCGAAAUAGUGGGUUAAACCCCCGCGUGUUUUG
rnacentral:tRNA from 1 species